GAUCCUUUCCUGAAUUCCUCCCGCAUUGUUCCACUAGGACCUCUACCUGCAGGAGCCUGGUGCUGGACAUCCUGUUCUGUUGCAAUGCCUUUCCUCAGUCUUGCAUCCACACCAAGCCAUGCAGCUCUUCCUGCUGAGGCCAGUGCAGCCAGACAGACAUCGAGACCUUUCUAGACGGCCAGAAGGUACCAGUCUGCACAUCACAAAUACCAAGGAAUAUGGUGUUUCCAGGAAUCUGCUCCCACUAUGUCCAAGUUUGAGGAGAAGCACCCUUGAUCCAAUUGAAAAAAUGCAUAGCAACCUCUUGAAAGAUUCCUCACUCGCAAGUCUCUGCAACUCAUAAUGAAUAUUUAACUUUCUCUUAUAUACUUUUAGAUAUUUUCAAAAAAUGUUCUGAAGGUGCCUACCCUGCUAUUAUCCUGGGGAUCCGAAUGUCCUGAAAGAAAUUCAGCACACCAAGCUGAACACUCUUCCUAAACUCCUGGGUGAUUAAGAAAUAGACUUCCUUCUUACUGAGCAACAGUCUGUGAAUCUAUUUGUUAUUCCAAGUUGGUCUAACCUAACACACAGUUAUUUUUAAAAAUAAAUUCAUCAAA